GUCCAUAGUACACGGAUGCCCCACUCCCACUAUCAUUUUCUAUGUUCAGUGGACCGUGAAAUUGGGGUCAAAACUUUAAUUUGGAAUUAAAAUUAGAAAGAUCAUAUCAUAGGGAACAUGUGUACUAAGUUUCAAGUUGAAGGAACUUUAACUUCAUCAAAAACUACCUUGACCAAAAACUUUAACCUGAACUUUGCACUAUCAUUUUCUAUGUUCAGUGGACCAUGAAAUUGGGGUCAAAACUAUAAUUUGGCAUUAAAAUUAGAAAGAUCAUAUCAUGGGGAACAUGUGUAUUAAAUUUCAAGUUGAUUGGACUUCAGCUUCAUCAAAAACUACCUUGACCAAAAACUUUAACCGGACGGACGGACGGACGAACGGAGGCACAGACCAGAAAACAUAAUGCCCCUCUACUAUCGUAGGUGGGGCAUAAAAAU
rnacentral:lncRNA from 1 species